UGGAGGGCAAGUCUGGUGCCAGCAGCCGCGGUAAUUCCAGCUCCAAUAGCGUAUAUUAAAGUUGUUGCAGUUAAAAAGCUCGUAGUUGAAUUUCGGAAUUAAUAUGCUGGUCGUGCCAUUGGUACGUACUAGUAUUAUUGAUUUCUCCCUUCUGAUGAAUCAUGAUGUCAUUAAUUUGAUGUCAUGAGGAAUCAGGACUGUUACUUUGAAAAAAUUAGAGUGUUUAAAGCAGGCUCGCGCUUGAAUACAUUAGCAUGGAAUAAUGAAAUAGGACGUUUGAUUCUAUUUUGUUGUGAAAUUCUUGGAUUUAUUGAAGACUAACUACUGCGAAAGCAUUUGCCAAGGAUGUUUUCAUUAAUCAAGAACGAAAGUUAGGGGAUCGAAGACGAUCAGAUACCGUCGUAGUCUUAACCAUAAACUAUGCCGACUAGGGAUCGGAUGAUGUUAAUUAUGACUCAUUCGGCGCCUUACGGGAAAC
rnacentral:rRNA from 1 species